ensembl:lncRNA
ACUGAAGAGAAAACGGGCCUCUCUGAAGAGCAGCUUAAAACCCUUCUGGAAGAAUGUAUGCAGCCUCAGAGAACAAUAAGCAACGUUACCAUGCCAAAGUCUCAGGAAUCUCUUUCUUGUGGAUUAAGUCCCCCUUGUUACACAAGUCAAGACUCCAUUCUUCACUCCACAUCUACUCUUUCCAAAAUGUUAGUUGAAGACCAUAUUGUAGGGAUGUUAACAGCUCUGGAAAAGGCUGGACUUGAAGACAAAAGCUUAUGUGUUAAUGCUGAGAGUGAAAUCCCUAGCUACUAUAUAGGCAAAGCAUUGGCUGAUAGUCACUUAUCAAAGGAUUCACUGGCCCAAACAGAGGAACCUGAUGACCUAGAAGGUUUACAGAAGAUGAGAGAUAAGAUUAUUACUGAAGGUUACUUUAUGUCAAGAGCACUCAACACUGAAAGGCUGAAGAAACCUUCUUUCUUGGGUGAACCAUUAUACUGCAUCAGCAUGAACAAUGAGCCAUCCACAGGGCCUGACAUUCUCAGCAUACCACUGAAAACCAAAGGAGAUGCAAGCAUCUGAAGAGUGGAGACAGGGAAGAAGGUGGCCUACUCCAGAGGACAGGCAGGUGGUGGUUAUGAUGGUUGGAGAAUCAAAGAGAAGCACCUGUGCCAGGGGCAGCUUCAUCUGAUGCAGGAGUGAAGUGGCUAGAUACAAUCUUGUUUCUCAAGCAGUCAGUAGUGAGGAAAAACUCAUGCUUAACCUGCUGCUCUAACAUGAAUUAAGGUUCUUCUUCACUUACACUACUGAAUAAAAGUAGUAUAGUCAGAAACAAAUCAGAGCUGUCCGCCAUCUUUCUUUCUUACACUGGUUUUUUUUAGAUGGAGUAUAUUAAUUCAAGUAAAAUGUCCUGCACUGUAGCCAGUGUAUAGUGAAAUGAGUAGGUAACUGAUUAUGCUGUUGUUAUAGACAUAGUCAAUAUGAGGUACUUUUAUUGCACAAAAGGGAAAGGAGGUUUCAGCAAAGCAUGUGCUAUUAGUAGUUUUCUGCAUGAGUAUCUCAUUGUGAAAGUUUAAGAGUCUUUAAAGUGACUUUAAAAAUAUUUGAAUCAUAAUCAUACACUAUGUCAGAGCAAUGCAAUAAGGUGUUUUAAUUAUCAAUUUUUGUAGUGGCUGCAUAAUCUUCAACCAUACAGAUCUCAGUCUGUGUGGUUAAUAAACAUCCUUGGUAUAUAGUCAUUUUUCUUACCUGUUCAUAAUUUCAGAAUUCUCUGAAUCUUUUCAUUUUCAAUGAAAACUUAAAAAUGAAACCAAGGAAAAUUCCUUAUAGAUGUUGUUAACUCAUCAGACAUUGAGUGAUUGUGUCUGAGUCUGAUUUUUAAAAUGGUGUGAAGAGGAGUAGUCUUUGGCAGAAUGAAAGUAAGUGCAAAAUAAAACACACUCCAUAGCUUUGUAAUUGUUAUUAUGUUACUGCCAAAUAUUUUGCACUUAUCUGUAAGUUUAAAUUUUGUUCAGAUUUAUUAUAUUCAGUUAAUAUUUAGUCUAACCCUAAAAUAUGUAUCCAAAACUAACAUUUAAAUAGCAGCCCAUUCUUACUAUUUUUCUCAGUUUACUGCUUAAAGAAAUGUAAAUUAAAAAGAAAUGUAUAUUAAAACAAACAAACAAAAAAAAACCCCACAAAAACCAUGAGUUCUGCCUUUCCACAGAAUUGUGUUAUUUGUUUUUGAUAAGGGCAACACAGUUCCAUCUUAUACAGUUAUUCGUGGCCAUAAGAGAGAAGUUGUGAUGCUUAUCAUGUUAGUACAGUUGCCUAGUGUAUUCUGCAGGUAAACUUUUUAUUAUUAUUUUAGACAGGAUUAUAUGUGCUAAUUGUAUUGAGAAAUGGAGAUCCCAAUGGAGUCCAAUUUGAGGCAAAUUCAUUUUCAGAUGAAAUUAUGAAAUGCGUCAGGUUUGUUUUUAAGAAAGAUAAUAGUUGAGCUCUGUUAUAAUAGUAGUUCUAAAAGAUUUAUACCCAUAUAUGAAUAAUCUUCUAUAGAUAGUUGGGUUGUCUGGGUUUCUGCACCUGGUUCAUGCUGUGUAAGCAAAUAAUUGUGUUUGUGUAAAACUGAUCUAUCACAAUUUGGUUUCACAGUCUCUAUAAUAGUAUAGUCUGUGAUACAGGUUUACUGUAAUACAUCAUAUAUACAUCUUAAGGAAAAUAUAAUUAUUAACAUUAAGUAUGCUUUUUUUUUUUUGGUAAGAAAUUUUAAGUAGAUCUUGCUCAUUGCUUCUUCCUCUUAUGAAUAAUAUUGUGCUUUCAGCAAUUCAACAUGUGACUGAUGAUAGAAAAUUGAGGAGAAAGUGACCGUGUGCUUCAUUACACAGCUUUUCCAAAUGUGCCAUUAUACUUCCACCAGUAGUAUUUUACUAUCAUUUCAGACACUCUAGAGGGAAUGAAUUCUCAUCAUUGAAAACUUUUCCAUGACAUAAUCAAUUCUUAAGAGAAAAUUAUUAUUAUAUAUUGUUGCAGUUUGAUUUCAAAGUAUUUAAUCUUGCACUUCAUUAAAAUUCAUGAGUAUAAUAAUUAUACAUGUGCAUAAUAGUUGCACAUAUGAUUUUGUGUGUCUGUCUAUCUAGAUAUGUAGGUAGGUGUAAAAUGUAUAGAAUCGUUUGUUCUUGUUGAUGUUUUCCUUACACACGAUGUACUGUUUGCAUGAAGUCAGCUUGAACCUGGUCUCAGUGAUCUCAGUACAGUUUACUGCCUGUGAGCCCUGCCUGAGUGAACGACACAAGCGCCCAAUGCCUAUCUGCUGGAUGUUGCCUUGGCUAUAG